UGUGGUCGGCUCCUCUCAAAUUAAUCAGCCUCCCAGUGUUUGGUGGCAUCACGGGUGUGAUAAAUAUCUACGCUCGCUGUUGUCUGCCAGGUAACCUUUGGUCACAAAGGUUUGCUGGAGCUCACAGAUGUCUCUCCUCAGCGAGGACAGCUUUUUUAACGUUCGAUCUCAAAUCAGGUAGGACUACCCGCUGAACUUAA
rnacentral:misc_RNA from 1 species